UACAGAGAGUGCGAACGUUGUUCGGAAUCACUGGGCUUGAAGCGCACGUAGGCGGCAUCGUAAGUGUCGGGUGAAAUCCCACGGCUCACCCGUGGAACUGCCCGGCAGACUGCGAUGCUCGAGUGUGGUAGGGGAGAACGGAACUCCUGGUGGAGCGGUGAAAUGCGUAGAUAUCAGGAGGAACACCGGUGGCGAAGGCGGUUCUCUGGUCCACAACUGACGCUGAGGUGCGAAAGCCAGGGGAGCAAAC
rnacentral:rRNA from 1 species